rnacentral:snoRNA from 1 species
AGGCUUGGUUUCCUGGGGGGUGGGCUCAGCUACUCCACUUCCCCUCAGCCAAGCCUACAAGAGAGGGGCCAGGCCUCCUCUCUCUUGGGAGAGGCAUUUGAGGAAGGAGCCUCACCUGGACUGGUCUGGCCUCACAUUU